rnacentral:lncRNA from 1 species
UGGGGAACCCAAUCAGACCUACACCUCCAUACUAGUGCUCCUAGGUGGGGAUCCAAUAGAAACACUAAAACAGAUGUGUGGACAGAGAGGGCAUCAACCAAUAAUAGUGAGGAGCGCAGGACAGGGAGGAGACAAGGAAAGGAGGAAAUGCCAGAGACCAUAAAAAGAACAGGCCAAAACUCCCCCACCAGACCCCAGCUCUGGGCCCUUCUCUUCGGAGAAGUCUCUCUCGCUUUUGCAAUAAGCCUAGUUCUUGCUUGCCGUCUCUGUGUCCUGUUCUUCAGUGCCGAAUGGAGACAACAAUCCCAGCAAGCACCCCUGGACAGUGAGGGACACUGGGAUCUGGAACACUUUCUAAUGGCAGCUGUCUGUGCUUGGUUGGCUUUGCCAUACCUGGAUAAUAAUAAAACCUGUGGUUCAAGCUGCUGAGAGGAGGGCUCAAACCCAGUACGCCCAACUCCGAGGUCUCGGACAUCCUGGAAUACAGUGGGAACCCCACCCAGCAGUUCUCUCCCCAACAAACUCAAAUUCAAGUUCCCAUGCACAGUGCCCAAGGCCUGUGUCCACACAGGGCUCCUGGGCCGGUACUGAGGACCAGUGAGAUCCAGCUGCUCCCAGAGACAGGAGAGCACCAUGCUCCAGAGCCAGCCACAGCCGCCAACUUCCCGCCACACCACACAGGCUGAUUUUGCCUGCCCCUCACCUGGAAAGAGGUGACAAGAACCGAAAACCCUCAUGAGGCUGCUGGAAGGACUGGAGAGGAGAUGUCCAUGCAGGGCUAGGCUCAGGACCUGACACAGAGCAAAGUAUGGUGCCCACCUGCGUGGCUGUAAAUGAUGCCAUGUGUACCACGCUUGUCCCCGCCCAGGCUGGUCCCUCUACCUGCUCAUUGCCCCGGCUCAGUCCAGCCAUCGCCUCCUCCUGGGGGCCCUUGAUGGCUGCUUCUUUACAGCCAUGCUUUCUGUGGCCUGUCUCCUUCCCUCCUGUGUGGCUUCCCUUUAGAUAGAACCAACAUUUAUUCUUGAGGGUAGAGAAGCUGUCGUAUCCGUUCCCGUGAGCUCUGUGCUUGCGGUCACUCAACAAGUAAUUCUUGAGCCGAUGCCUCCCAGAUACCCUUUCCAAGUAACACCACAAGUGCAAACCCGGCAGGGAUGCCAUUGGUGCCCUGGCCAUAGGAAGCUGGAGUUGCACCCAUCUCUGCUGCCUGUCCUGGGAUCGCCUCACGCCAGCGCGGCACAGUGGCUGUGACGGUGGCUUCAGUUUAAUCCACCUUCCCCACUUUGUUCCUUUUCUACAGCUGCUGUAACAAAUGAUCACAAACUAAUUGGCCAAAACCAACCAAAUGUAUCAUCGUCCAGUUCUGGCAUCCAGAGUCUGAAGCGGGUGGGCAGGGCCAGGUGCCCCUGGGGGCCUGGGAGAGUCUGCUGUGCUGCUCCACCUCUGCCGCCACCCGCGUUGCUCAGCUCCUGGUCCCUUUCCCCACCAGCAAAGCCAGCAGUGUGGUGUUCACUGUCAUGUUGCUUUCUGUGCCUCUGACUCCUGCCUCCUUCAGAAUGGUCUGCCCAUUUCAAAUCCUGCACUUCAGCCUGUCUGCAAAGUCCCUUUGGCAUACAAAGGGAUCUGAAUAGGUCCCAGGGCUCGAGGUGGACAGCCAGCAGCCCCUACUAUCCCCCACUGAACAGCAGGGUGGUCGUUCCCGACAGAGACGACUUUGUAGAGACUUGGGUUCUCAUGACUUGGUGCCAGUACUGUUGGCACCUGGGGGUGGAGGCUCAGAACCACCUGCAACAUGCAGGACAGCUCCUGUGGCCAUGAGGUGUGGUAGCAACCCUCCCCUCAAGGAGCUUCAAGGUCAAACACCAGCCUGUGAAGGACGCAGCAAGGGGAACGCUAACUCCAGGCCCCGUUUCACUUGUUUCUUCCUUGAAGAUGCUGUCAGAGAUAUCAAAAUACCAUCUUCACAGCCAGCUGG